GUGGGGAAUAUUGCACAAUGGGCGAAAGCCUGAUGCAGCGACGCCGCGUGAGCGAUGAAGUAUUUCGGUACGUAAAGCUCUAUCAGCAGGGAAGAUAAUGACGGUACCUGACUAAGAAGCACCGGCUAAAUACGUGCCAGCAGCCGCGGUAAUACGUAUGGUGCAAGCGUUAUCCGGAUUUACUGGGUGUAAAGGGAGCGUAGGCGGCGUGGUAAGUCAGAAGUGAAAGCCCGGGUCUCAACCCCGGUACUGCUUUUGAAACUAUCAUGCUAGAGUGUCGGAGAGGUAAGUGGAAUUCCUAGUGUAGCGGUGAAAUGCGUAGAUAUUAGGAGGAACACCAGUGGCGAAGGCGGCUUACUGGACGAUAACUGACGCUGAGGCUCGAAAGCGUGGGGAGCAAACAGGAUUAGAUACCCGGGUAGUCC
rnacentral:rRNA from 1 species